GGUCGUGGCAGGAAACGAGGACGAGGCAAGCGUAGGCGAGGUCGUGGCAGGAAACGAGGACGAGGCAAGCGUAGGCGAGGUCGUGGCAGGAAACGAGGACG